rnacentral:rRNA from 1 species
GACGAACGCUGGCGGCGUGCUUAACACAUGCAAGUCGAACGGAAAGGCCCUGCUUUUGUGGGGUGCUCGAGUGGCGAACGGGUGAGUAACACGUGAGUAACCUGCCCUUGACUUUGGGAUAACUUCAGGAAACUGGGGCUAAUACCGGAUAGGAGCUCCUGCUGCAUGGUGGGGGUUGGAAAGUUUCGGCGGUUGGGGAUGGACUCGCGGCUUAUCAGCUUGUUGGUGGGGUAGUGGCUUACCAAGGCUUUGACGGGUAGCCGGCCUGAGAGGGUGACCGGCCACAUUGGGGCUGAGAGACGGCCCAGACUCCUACGGGAGGCAGCAGUGGGGAAUAUUGCGCAAUGGGCGGAAGCCUGAUGCAGCAACGCCGCGUGCGGGAUGACGGCCUUCGGGUUGUAAACCGCUUUCGCCUGUGACGAAGCGUGAGUGACGGUAAUGGGUAAAGAAGCACCGGCUAACUACGUG